AUGCAAGUCGAACGCGUUGGCCCAAUUGAUUGAUGGUGCUUGCACCUGAUUGAUUUUGGUCGCCAACGAGUGGCGGACGGGUGAGUAACACGUAGGUAACCUGCCCAGAAGCGGGGGACAACAUUUGGAAACAGAUGCUAAUACCGCAUAACAGCGUUGUUCGCAUGAACAACGCUUAAAAGAUGGCUUCUCGCUAUCACUUCUGGAUGGACCUGCGGUGCAUUAGCUUGUUGGUGGGGUAACGGCCUACCAAGGCGAUGAUGCAUAGCCGAGUUGAGAGACUGAUCGGCCACAAUGGGACUGAGACACGGCCCAUACUCCUACGGGAGGCAGCAGUAGGGAAUCUUCCACAAUGGGCGCAAGCCUGAUGGAGCAACACCGCGUGAGUGAAGAAGGGUUUCGGCUCGUAAAGCUCUGUUGUUAAAGAAGAACACGUAUGAGAGUAACUGUUCAUACGUUGACGGUAUUUAACCAGAAAGUCACGGCUAACUACGUGCCAGCAGCCGCGGUAAUACGUAGGUGGCAAGCGUUAUCCGGAUUUAUUGGGCGUAAAGAGAGUGCAGGCGGUUUUCUAAGUCUGAUGUGAAAGCCUUCGGCUUAACCGGAGAAGUGCAUCGGAAACUGGAUAACUUGAGUGCAGAAGAGGGUAGUGGAACUCCAUGUGUAGCGGUGGAAUGCGUAGAUAUAUGGAAGAACACCAGUGGCGAAGGCGGCUACCUGGUCUGCAACUGACGCUGAGACUCGAAAGCAUGGGUAGCGAACAGGAUUAGAUACCCUGGUAGUCCAUGCCGUAAACGAUGAGUGCUAGGUGUUGGAGGGUUUCCGCCCUUCAGUGCCGGAGCUAACGCAUUAAGCACUCCGCCUGGGGAGUACGACCGCAAGGUUGAAACUCAAAGGAAUUGACGGGGGCCCGCACAAGCGGUGGAGCAUGUGGUUUAAUUCGAAGCUACGCGAAGAACCUUACCAGGUCUUGACAUCUUGCGCCAACCCUAGAGAUAGGGCGUUUCCUUCGGGAACGCAAUGACAGGUGGUGCAUGGUCGUCGUCAGCUCGUGUCGUGAGAUGUUGGGUUAAGUCCCGCAACGAGCGCAACCCUUGUUACUAGUUGCCAGCAUUAAGUUGGGCACUCUAGUGAGACUGCCGGUGACAAACCGGAGGAAGGUGGGGACGACGUCAGAUCAUCAUGCCCCUUAUGACCUGGGCUACACACGUGCUACAAUGGACGGUACAACGAGUCGCGAACUCGCGAGGGCAAGCAAAUCUCUUAAAACCGUUCUCAGUUCGGACUGCAGGCUGCAACUCGCCUGCACGAAGUCGGAAUCGCUAGUAAUCGCGGAUCAGCAUGCCGCGGUGAAUACGUUCCCGGGCCUUGUACACACCGCCCGUCACACCAUGAGAGUUUGUAACACCCAAAGUCGGUGGGGUAACCUUUUAGGAGCCA
rnacentral:rRNA from 1 species